rnacentral:misc_RNA from 1 species
GAUGAAGAACGUAGCGAAAUGCGAUAAGUAAUGUGAAUUGCAGAAUUCAGUGAAUCAUCGAAUCUUUGAACGCACAUUGCGCCCGCCAGCACUCUGGCGGGCAUGCCUGUUCGAGCGUCAUUUCAACCAUCAAGCCCCCAGGGGCAUGUGCUGGGGCCCUGCGGCUGCCCGCAGGCCCUGAAAACCAGUGGCGGGCUCGCUAGUCACACCGAGCGCAGUAGCACAUCUCGCUCAGGGCGUGCGGCGGGCUCCUGCCGUGAAACCCCCCACUGUAACCCCAAAGGUUGACCUCGGAUCAGGUAGGAAUACCCGCUGAACUUAAGCAUAUCAAUAAGCGGAGGA